rnacentral:rRNA from 1 species
UAUUCCGAUGGUAGAUUGGAAUACCAUGGCGUUCACGGGUAACAGGGAAUUAGGGUUCGAUUCUGGAGAAGGAGCCUGAGAAACGGCUACUACAUCUACGGAAGGCAGCAGGCGCGUAAAUUACCCAAUCCUGACUCAGGGAGGUGGUGACAAGAUAUAACAACAACGAUGCAAAUCGUGAUUGUAGUGAGGGUAUUCUAAACCGAACCACUAGUACGAUUAGAGGGCAAGUCUGGUGCCAGCAGCCGCGGUCAUCACCGUAUCUAAUAGCGUAUAUUAAAGUUGCUGCAGUUAAAAAGCUCGUAGUUGGAUUUCAAGGAUUGUGUACUCUUUCAGAGUAUGCACCCUACUAGUCUUUGACUUGUUACUGUGAGAAAAUUAGAGUGUUUAAAGCAGGCUAUUGCAAGAAUACAUUAGCAUGGAAUAACGAAUGUAUCUAGAAUCUUGGUUAAUUCUAGGUUCGAUUAAUAGAGACAGUUGGGGGCAUUAGUAUUAAUUGUCAGAGUGAAUUCUGGAUUUGUAAAGACUACGUAUGCGAAGCAUUUGCCAGAUGUUUCUUAUCAGACGAAGAAGGGAUCAAGACAUCAGAACUGCGAGUCUAUCAAACAUGCCACAGGAUGAUGAAACACAUUCGUACUUUGAAUAACUUUGGUUGGGGAUGUGCCGAUGACUAUUGGAGGCCCGGGAGGCGUUUAUACGAAACGAAAAGGAGAUCUCUGGGGGGUG